GCGGACAUGGUGGAAUUGGUAGACACGCUAGAUUUAGGAUCUAGUGAGCUUGUCUCGUGAGAGUUCAAGUCUCUCUGUCCGCA
rnacentral:tRNA from 9 species